rnacentral:rRNA from 1 species
AAUGAACGUUGGCGGCGUGGAUUAGGCAUGCAAGUCGUACGGAUCGGUGUAGCAAUACAACGGCAAGUGGCGAAAGGGAGAGUAGCACGUAGAUACCUACCCUCUGGUCGGGGAUACCGCGGCAUAACCGCAAGUAAUACCCGAUAAAAUCUCCGGAUCAAAGGUGUGAUUCCGCCGGAGGAGGGGUCUGCGUUCUAUCAGCUUGUUGGUGAGGUAAUGGCUCACCAAGGCUAAGACGGAUACGGGGUGUGAGAGCAUGCCCCCGCUCACUGGGACUGAGACACUGCCCAGACACCUACGGGUGGCUGCAGUCGAGAAUCUUCGGCAAUGGGCGCAAGCCUGACCGAGCGACGCCGCGUGCGGGAUGAAGGCCUUCGGGUUGUAAACCGCUGUCGAGGGGAAUGAAGUGUAGGUGGGUACUCCCAUCUAUUUGACAGGUCCCUGGAGGAAGCAUGGGCUAAGUUCGUGCCAGCAGCCGCCGUAA